UAUCUGUUAAUAUGCGUAGCUGGGUACAAAGGAACAGACUGAAGUGGUUGGAGGAAGCCAUUAGCCUAAUCGAAAAUUAUUGCGUGGCAGAGGAAGGAACUAAAGAACACGCCGGAACUACUUCUGAGAGAACCCGCCCGCAAGACAAGAUGGCGACCGGGAGCAGCCACACACCGCAUGGUCCGUCUUCUUUUUCGGUUAUAGGCAGAGGAAGGCCUCAGAACUUCGAACCGAUGUGCCCGAAACCAACACGCCCUAUAACCUACGACCAACGCCUGCUCGAACCGGGCACUGGGUUGAAAGAAGGAAAGGAUGGCAAGCCCGUGUGUUUCGAUUGCGGCCGGGUCGGCCACGUGAAGAGGCAAUGCCCCAGACUGGACUGCUCAUGGGUAGGGCAGAACAACGAACGAAUUAAAAUAUUAGGCUCAGAACAGGAGGGUUGGGAAGUAAUGGCUACAGUCAACGGACACGAAAAAAGGGCUUUGAUUGAUACGGGGUGUAGCAAGACAUUGGUUCGGCAGUUGGAGGGAGUGGUAAUACCAGAUGAUUUAACUGUAAGAUGUAUACAUGGGGAUUCCAAGAAAUAUGCUACCACUUGGGUAGAUAUACAAAUUGGAAAAGAUUGUCGGAGGAUGAAAGUAGGAAUUCUACCAGGGCUUUCGAGAGAAAUGUUGGGAUGUGAUUGGGAGGGGGCGAGUGAAUUGCUUAAGAGUAAAGAAGGGCUAGCUGGGGAUUGUAAUACUAGUGAAACGGAAACUGAUUUUCUAAAAGGAGCCUCUCGGGAUCAAAUGAGGCUAUGGCCACAUGAUGACCCAACAUUACAAAAGGUAUUACAUGAGGCUCAACCUACGGGAUCUAUUGUAUCCGGAGAUACUGGGUUUGAAAUAGAUGAAGGUUUAUUAUACCGAGUAAACCGAGAAGGGGAGAAGCAGUUAGUGGUGCCUGUAAAAUGGAGGAAAGAUAUAUUAAGAACAGCCCAUGAUGUACCCACUGCUGGUCAUUUAGCUACAGAUAAAAUG
rnacentral:lncRNA from 1 species